CAGCAGGCGCGGUAAUACUAGCAUCCCGAGUGCANUNGAUUUUAUUGGGCUUAAAGCGUCCGUUAGCNUGUUUGAUGGGUUCCUAGUGAAAUCCUGCGGCUUAACCGUAGGGCUUGCUGGGAAAACUAUCAGACUUGAGGACGGGAGAGGCUAGAGGUACUUUUUGGGUAGGGGUGAAAUCCUAUAAUCCUGAAAGGACCAACAGCGGCGAAGGCGUCUAGCAUGAACGUGCCUGACGGUGAGGGACGAAAGCCAGGGUCGCGAAACGGAUUAGAUACCCGUGUAGUCCUGGCCGUAAACGAUGCAGACUAGGUGGGGUUUGACUCUAGUGGUCAAGCCAUGCCGAAGAGAAAUCGUUAAGUCUGCCGCCUGGGUAGUACGUCCGCAAGGAUGAAACUUAAAGGAAUUGGCGGGGGAGCACUACAAGGGGUGGAAGCUGCGGUUUAAUUAGAUUCAACGCUGGGCACCUUACCGGAAGCGACAGCAGGAUGAAGGCCAGAUUGAAGGUCUUGCCGAACGCGCUGAGAGGAGGUGCAUGGCCGCCGUCAGCUCGUGCCGUGAGGUGUUCGGUUAAGUCCGAAAACGAGCGAGACCCACGUUCCUAGUUGCAAUCUGCUUCUCCGGGAGUAGAGCACACUAGGGAGACUGCCCGCUAUAAGUGGGAGGAAGGGGUGGACAACGGUAGGUCCGCAUGCCCCGAAUCUUCCGGGCUACACGCGUCUUACGAUGGCUGACACAAUGAGUUGCAACCCCGAAAGGGGGAGCUAAUCUCCAAAGUCAGUCUCAGUUCGGAUUGGGGAUUGUAACUCAUCCCCAUGAAGUUGGAAUCCCUAGUAAUCGCAGUUCAUUAUGCUGCGGUGAAUACGUCCCUGCCCCUUGCACAC
rnacentral:rRNA from 1 species